CCCCUACGGGAUUCAUCAUUUUGGCCUCUUCCUCACUGGGCGAAAUCCUUCCGGAGCAAUGCCGCGUGAGUGAAGAAGGCCUUCGGGUUGUAAAACUCUGUCCUUAUCGAAGAGAGGUGGGUAUGUGAAUAAUGUACUCAUAGGACGGUAGAUAAGGAGGAAGCCCCGGCUAACUACGUGCCAGCAGCCGCGGUAAUACGUAGGGGGCGAGCGUUGUCCGGAAUCACUGGGCGUAAAGGGCGCGUAGGCGGUUUAAUAAGUCAGUGGUGAAAACUGAGGGCUCAACCCUCAGCCUGCCACUGAUA
rnacentral:rRNA from 1 species